GCUGGAGGUGACGGCUGGCUGCUCACCGGAGCAGGGGGCGGCGUCGGCUUCGCCGAGGGCCGUCUGGCCGAGAGGGAAAGAGAGAGGCUGGGAAAGAGAGAGGGCGGUAGAAGGGUAGAGAGAGAGGUUAAGGAGAGGACAGUGGGAGGCAGAGUCGCCGGCUUCCGGCGGCGGCGUGUCGUCUGGUGGCGGCGGCAGGAGGCCGAGAAGGGAGAGGGGUGAGGGGAGAGUGGCUGAGUGUUGAGGGUGCGUGAGUUUUGUGAGCAAUUAGAGUGUGUGGGUUUAAAUUAAGGGAGUUGGAAGAGUGGGCUUGGGCCAAAGGGGGAGUUUAAUUUCAUGGGCUGAGAUUAUUUAAGUAGUUGGGUUUAUUUUAAUUAUCUUAUGGGCUGCAUAUUUCAUUUUAAAUAAGUUGGACUUACUUUAUAAAUAUCAACCCACUUUUUCGAAAAUAUAUUUUACUACUUAAAUUCAUUAGAUCAAUUAUUUUUACAUGAUUCUAUAAUUUAAAUUAUUUUCUAAGCUCAAUUAGGCCCUUAUAUUCUAUUAUUUGAAUUUAUCUGAUUAGGUGCGGCGCGACUAGGACGUUACUUUUAUUUGAUUUACUCAAGUUAGCAUACAAGUUCAAGUUCAAGUUUCAGGUGUGGGAUUUAUUUCAGUACAUGCCGUGGUUAAUUGUUGUCCAUUUUAAUAUUAUGUGUUUGCCAUAUGUGUUGUAAAUUCAGUUAUAUCGCUAGGGGCCCGCUCAAUGGGUCCAGGACUUCACAGUCCUUGGUAUGCCACAAUGCGAUUUCAUGUUAAAGUUAUGGUUGCAACCAGUCGCCAGGGGCCGGCUCAAUCGGUCCAGGACAGAAAGGUCCUUGGUAUGCCACAGUGCGACUUUCAGUCACGAAUGUUUUAAAGGCCGGAGGCACGUGGAAGGUCGAAUGGCGAGUCAAAUAUUUUGAAUUCAGUUUUUCUUAAAAAUGUUAUUUUGAGUAAAGUAUGUUUAAAUAAAUAUUUAUUUCACUAUUUUCUUGUUAAAUAUUUAUUUAUAGUCAUGAUUUUUCCGCGUGCGUUUUCAUGUAAAUUUAAAAUGGAU